rnacentral:tRNA from 5 species
GGGGCGUUAGCUCAGCUGGUUAGAGCGCCGUGCUCACACCGCGGAGGUCGGUGGUUCGAGUCCACUACGCCCCACCA